AUGUUUUCUCUUUUUCCUCAGGGUCUAACCACCUUUCAAAUGAAUCUCUACCAUUGGAUCUUGCUGAAAUUAAAUCCUGACCAUUUAAACUCACAUUUUUAACUGCUGUAAUGGCAGUUCACACUACAGUUUCCUAAGCUCCAUGUUUUCCUGACCAUGUUCUCCACAAAUCACUCCUACAAAUGUUUCCCAACCAGUUACAGGUAGUUAUCGCCCCCCAUAUCUUCCUCCCACCUCGCUGAAAACUGCAUAUGCAACCUACGCUUAUCAUAAUCCUUCCUUUUGUAGCAAAAAUUGUGUUCAAUCACCUUCAUCCUCACUCUUAUUUCUUACACAAAGCCCUAAUUUUUUUUUCUUCCUUCUCGAACUCACAUCUAAAUUGGUGAAAUUAGAAGGUUCUCCAUGUGAUCACAAUGCAUUUAACAUAAAAGAAGAGACGGAUGUGAAAUCAAGCAACGAUGGAGGGUGGCCCAAAUUUUGGAGGGUGGAUUAUGAUGGAGGGCCACCCUCACUUUUUUCUUCAUUCUAAAACAUAUAUUACAUGAUGGAGGGUGGCCCAAAUUUUGUUUGGGGUUUUCAGCAGGUGAACGCUCCUCCAUAAAUCGUACUCCAUUGCUGGAAAGUAUCAGGUGAACGCUUCAAUCAAACGUGUUUUGGAUUAUCUGUGCAACCCAAUUCGAGUUUCCAAGUGCAGUUCUAUCAACCCCCACUACCCAAAAUUGCGGUACACUUUUCUUAUAGAAACCAUACAUCCAACACUCUGGUUCUCCAGACGCAGAAGAGGAAGAGCAAGAUUCGAGAGCUGACUCUUCGAGAAAUUAGGGACAUUAAGGUAUACUUUGAUUGCAUAUACAGUUGAUUAGGGAAUAAUCUUGCUAUUGUCCUUGUAUGUAUGUUGUUUUAGCCAUCACUAUCAUCUUCUUCAGCAACAAUUUCGUUAGCAUGAAAUUAGUUUAUUCGAUUGGUAGCAGGUGGCAGCACAUAGGUGAAUCUAUCCCUCUCUUGCUCUCUGAUUUGGUUUUCUAUUCAAACUAUAUUCAAACCCUAAUUUUGCCCUCUUAACCUCUGCUCCUAGAAGCAAAUUUUGAUUUUAAAUGGUCAGGAAUUUAUUUUAGAAUGAUCUAAUGGUUGAGAUUAGUCCAAAAUCAGUUUUGUAUUAAGGGGAACAUAAGAAUAUGAAAUCAUCUCUGUUUUUAUAAUAUAUUGAAAUCCGAUGAUUUCGCCCAAAAAAAAAAUGUAAUUUUGCCCUCUUUCUCUCAAUUUUGCAGGUAGAGCAUCCACUUCAACUGUUAUAAGGUAACCAAUAUUUUUUCCAUGUAAUAUUUUAUUUUUUUUGUAAGUUGUUUGUUCUUGGGAUUUGAAAAUUUUACUGAAAUACGAGGCGGGUGUGUUUUACUUCUAUUUUUGAUGAUAGAAGGUACUUAUGUUUGAUAUUGGGAUAUGCUAUUGUAUGAUUUUGAUGUGAAGACUCAGAAACUAUGAUAAUGUAGUUAGAUAAUCAAUAGAUUAAAGCUACACAAAGUUGGAUUAUUUCCCUUUAUCAAGAUAUUUGUAGACCUGCCUGUUCAAAUAUUAUCAAAGCUGGAUUAGGAUUAUUUCACUUUAUAGACCUCUUUGUUCAAAUAUGAUUACUUUUUGGAUGAAUCUGAUGGUUAUGUGCCUGGGAUGUUUGAUCUGAUUUUAAAUAAUAUGUUUACUUUUGAAUUUGGCAACCGAGAAAAAGAAUGGGCAAUAAUAAAAAUUGUAUGUUGAGAAAAGUUGACCAUUGAAGUACCAGCAACAUAUAACAAUCAAGAUGCAAAUGCUGCAAGUGUUGGAAGUAAACAGUCGGUCAAGAACGUGAAGAAUCUGGAUUCGAGAACGGAUGAUAAUGUGUCGGAAACUGUAAAGAGCAUGGCGAAACCGUGUUGGUUUGUGGCUUUGGUUCCUUGUGCUUGGAUGUGCGGUUGCUCGAGUUCGAAUGAUGAAUCUACGGAGCUUCAGACAAGUGAAGAUGGCAUGUUUUACUGUAGUUUGUGUGAAGUUGAGGUUUUAAGUACAACAAGCAUUGUAGACUGUAGAGUUUGUGACAAAUGUGUCGAUCGAUUUGAUCAUCAUUGCAGGUGGCUGAAUAACUGUAUAGGCAAGAAGAACUACAAAAAGUUCUUUACUCUUAUGAUCUCCGCACUUCUCCUAGUAUGACCAAAUCUCUCCAUUCUAUAUUCAUGUUGACUUUUUAGUCAACUUUUCUCAAACACUGACAUGUGUUGUACUGUUGUUACUUUUUGGUGCUUCUUGUAAGAAGCGCGCCUCGGGCUAUUAAAGGCGCCAAGGCUUGCGCCUCGCGCGUCAGGCGCACUUUUUAAAACCCAGAAUAGGAUGUGGUGUUAUAGAAGAGUUUUAGAAGGAAUGGAAUGUUCCCACAGCCCACACCCUGAAUUUCAUUAUAUAACCGAAUUCCAAAGUCAUGAGCCAAAGGGUCGAAACUGGUUUUUUUGUGGAUUAGAUGGGUCCUGUAACCUUUCCCGAUUGCAACACCAACACGCUGUACGUUACCAUCAGGUAAGUUUCUAUGCUGUCCUUUUUCACAAUAUAUAAGAGGUAGUAAAAUGGGCAGGACUGACAAGGCCAGAAGGUGCAACUUUUUGUUACAGGUCAGGUCUAACCGAACGCUUUUUAUGUGUAAAUUUAUUAAAUUUUCUUUGCAAAUAAUUACUAUUUGGCACAUUUCGUUUUAAGUUAUAUUUUUACGUGUUUGACCCGUUUGAGAUGAAAUAUAGCUUGAAUUUACACUUCCAUAAGUGAAUGGGUCAAAGUUAGAAGACUAUUAUAUACCACAUCAAGUAGAACGCCAUGUAAAAUAUGAUCAUGUCACUAGCUUUUGAAGGUGACUCAUAUGUAUUUGUAAAAAAUAAUCCAGGCAUGGUUUGCAACAGGAGAUGCUGGUUGUUAUGGUGAUGCCACAUGGGGUUCAAGGUCGGUGGUCAUCACAGCCACGUAGACUUUGUAUUCAAAAGACGAAAUUUAAAUAUAUACAUGGAUGGAUGCUGCACUUCAUGAGCUAACUGAUCUGGUAUGCCAAAUGAUCCAUAUUUGGACAAUUUAAUUUGUGCUUUGUGGUCGAAAGUGUAUUCCAUGUUCUUUUUUGUUCCUUGAACACGCUAUCCAUUAAAAAAACACCACUUAGGAUCAAGUGGGUUAUGCAUUAUGUAUGUAAUAAAAUAUGGGAGUUCUUCAUCAAAUGAUAGUGCUGUUGUAUGUAUUUAAUAAAAUAUGAAAGCACUUUUAUUUGUCUG
rnacentral:lncRNA from 1 species